rnacentral:tRNA from 1 species
CGCGCUGAGGAACCGGUGGCGCGGCGCACGGUUCGGGUCCGUGAGGUCAGCGGUUCAAAUCCGCUCGCCCCGA